UACCGAGUUUACAACUCCCAAACCCAAUGUGAACGUUACCAAACUGUUGCCUCGGCGGGAUCUCUGCCCCGGGUGCGUCGCAGCCCCGGACCAAGGCGCCCGCCGGAGGACCAACCAAAACUCUUUUGUAUACCCCCUCGCGGGUUUUUAUAUCUGAGCCAUCUCGGCGCCUCUCGUAGGCGUUUCGAAAAUGAAUCAAAACUUUCAACAACGGAUCUCUUGGUUCUGGCAUCGAUGAAGAACGCAGCGAAAUGCGAUAAGUAAUGUGAAUUGCAGAAUUCAGUGAAUCAUCGAAUCUUUGAACGCACAUUGCGCCCGCCAGUAUUCUGGCGGGCAUGCCUGUCCGAGCGUCAUUUCAACCCUCGAACCCCUCCGGGGGGUCGGCGUUGGGGAUCGGCCCUUUACGGGGCCGGCCCCGAAAUACAGUGGCGGUCUCGCCGCAGCCUCUCCUGCGCAGUAGUUUGCACACUCGCAUCGGGAGCGCGGCGCGUCCAUUGCCGUUAAACACCCAACUUUCUGAAAUGUUGACCUCGGAUCAGGUAGGAAUACCCGCUGAACUUAAGCAUAUCAAUAAGCGGAGGAAAAGAAACCAACAGGGAUUGCCCCAGUAACGGCGAGUGAAGCGGCAACAGCUCAAAUUUGAAAUCUGGCCCCUCGGGGUCCGAGUUGUAAUUUGUAGAGGAUGCUUUUGGUGAGGUGCCGCCCGAGUUCCCUGGAACGGGACGCCACAGAGGGUGAGAGCCCCGUCUGGCUGGACCGAGCCUCUGUAAAGCUCCUUCGACGAGUCGAGUAGUUUGGGAAUGCUGCUCAAAAUGGGAGGUAUAUGUCUUCUAAAGCUAAAUAUUG
rnacentral:rRNA from 1 species